GACGAACGCUGGCGGCGUGCUUAACACAUGCAAGUCGAACGGAAAGGCCCUGCUUUUGUGGGGUGCUCGAGUGGCGAACGGGUGAGUAACACGUGAGUAACCUGCCCUUGACUUUGGGAUAACUUCAGGAAACUGGGGCUAAUACCGGAUAGGAGCUCCUGCUGCAUGGUGGGGGUUGGAAAGUUUCGGCGGUUGGGGAUGGACUCGCGGCUUAUCAGCUUGUUGGUGGGGCAGUGGCUUACCAAGGCUUUGACGGGUAGCCGGCCUGAGAGGGUGACCGGCCACAUUGGGACUGAGAUACGGCCCAGACUCCUACGGGAGGCAGCAGUGGGGAAUAUUGCACAAUGGGCGGAAGCCUGAUGCAGCAACGCCGCGUGCGGGACGACGGCCUUCGGGUUGUAAACCGCUUUCGCCUGUGACGAAGCGUGAGUGACGGUAAUGGGUAAAGAAGCACCGGCUAACUACGUG
rnacentral:rRNA from 1 species